GACUAAAUAGCAUUUUUUAUGGAUUCUCUAUUGAAAGUUCUUCUUAAUCCAAUACUUAAUCUGUGUCYAGGAAAUCGACCCUAUAUGUGUUGACUAGUGGAUUAUCUGUGACCAUGAGGUGAUAAAGAAACUAAUAAGAUUACAACCGUCCAGUCUGGAACAGCAGAAGUGGAACAGGACAAGUACAGAUCAACAGCACAAUCCCUACAGAACAGUAAACACACACACGGGGACACAGUACAUCAAAAACACACUACUCAAUACCAAGGACAACAACCUGCUAGCUUCUACUGACUGAGCUUCCUGUGAUCAGACAAGAUGAGGUUUCUGAUUGGAUGGGUUGUGUUUGGUGAUGUCAUUGGGAUCUUGCAAUUCGCAGCAGAAGACCCUGCAGCAGGCAUCUCAGAGGACACCCUGAAGCAGCUGUCUGAUGUUGGGAGCAGCUG